UCCGGUUUCUCCUGUUCCGUUCAUCCGUCUCACUCUAUCCCACUGUUUCUCCUGGUAGCCUUCGUUGCAUCAGAUCUCAAAGUGUAACAAAUUUCUUCCUCUAAACUUCAACAUUCUCUUUCACACAACGUCCCUGUCUCUCUCUGAUGCUAUUGUUAAUGUACAAUUGCUGCAAACGCCCAUAUCACCAUGAAAUAGACCUUAACGCUGGGAAGCGUCGGAAUCAACCAGCAAUUCAUGGCAUUUACUCAUGUGACAAUGGAAUCGGACAAGUACAUAUGCAUCAGGGAAACUGCACCUCAGAAUAGUGUUGUUAACAUUGACACGAGUACGCCAAUGCAGCCUUUGAGACGGCCCAUAACUGCUGAUUCUUCUCUAAUGAACCACAACUCGUAUUCUUUCUCUGAAAGGUUAUCUUUCGGAAGUGGAUAACUCCAAACACGCUAGGAAUUGUCACUCGGACGGCUGUAUGUCAUUGGUCAGUUGAAGGUGCUGGAAAUUAAUCUUGUGACGUUUCCAAAUGUUGCUGAUGCUAAAUUAGCUAAUGGCAUGUUUAGUCAUUACUAUCAUCCACGGAUUGCUCAUCUUUGUAAGAAGGCCGGCCUUUUCAUACGGGCCCUUCAGAUUGAAAAGCACGAGCUUCUUGAGAUUAGGCGUGUAGCUUAUAUUUAUAAAAAAAGCUGGAAGAUGGAAGCAGUUUAUUGCUUGGUCAAAAAGGGAUAAUCUUUACAAGGACUGCAUGGAAACUUGCUCCCAAUCUGGUAACCGUGUACUCUCAGAGGAUUUGCUUGUUUACUUUAUUGAGCAGGUAUGUUUUCUUAUUCCUUUCCUUGAAAUACCACUCUGCUAUUCCUUGCUCUAUGUAUAGUUGAUUCUCAGUUAUAAAUUUUUUUCUUAGUUUUGUAGUCAUGUAAAUGCAUUCUAUAGGAUUUCACAAAAAAUUUGUUCGUCUAAUAUCAGAUAUAAAUAUUCAUCAACUAUUAUCAAUGUUCUAUCUCUGCUGGUUAGUUUCCCUGUUGCCUUUCACUGAUAACUAUUAUCCAUAUGUGACUCACGGAUAUGAUACAUGUAUUAGAUACGACAUGUAUUUAACAAUAUAUAUGCAUAUUGAAAAGUUUACAAAAAUUCUUAAAAACAAGAUAAAUAUAUAAUUGUUAUUGAGUGAAAUUAAAUUCAUAUACAUUAAAUGUUGCCAAAGUUAAAAAUUAUAAAUUAUUGUUAUAAUAAAAGUACUAUUAAUUUAUAGAUUAGAUACUUCAUUAAUAAGUAUCAGUAGAGUAUCGAUGCCCCAAAUUAAAGUAUUGAGGCAUCAUAGCUUUUCAUGUUAUCCUUUUUGUUAGUUCCAUGAGUUACAAACGGUUGAAAGUCUCACAUCGAUUAGGAUUAAGGUCAAAUUAGUCUAUAUAAGUGGGUGCAAACCUCACUUAAUUGAGUUAGUCUUAAAGUCCACUUCCUAACAUGGUAUCAGAGGUUCUAAUCUUAGGACUUGUGAGUUGAAGGUUCGUGAUGGUGAUUGGCUUAGACGAGUCCCUAUAUUGAAAGUCUUCUUGACGGAGGGUUAGGCAAGUGUGUCCCUUUGAGAUGAAGGUGGUACAAGAAGGACUACUCGUGGUUAGUUCGAGAAGGAAGUGCCAAUGCGAAGGGACUCAUACUUGUGGAGAAAAUUGUUGGGAAUCCAAGUGUGAGCUUAAGUCCCACAUUGAGCAAAAGUGAGAAAGUUGAAUAUCAUAUAAAGAUGAAGACCCAUAAGCCCAUUUCCUUAAGAUUUUAGGUUAAAGGUGGUGUCAACCCUUAUUUUGAGUUCAUGUCUCAUUGAUGUUGUAUCUCUCAAGUGAUCAUUUCUUGAAAAAUUCAUCUAUAGUAUCAAAGCCAUGAGUUAAAGUCUAUCGUAGCAAGAUUUGUGUUUGUUUGACAUAUCGUUUCACCUACUAUCGACUUAUUCAUUAAUGUCUAGUUCCAUACACGAGAUAUAUAUACUUCAGCAUAAGUGGG